AUGAAACACUCCUACGGGAGGCAGCAGUGAGGAAUAUUGGUCAAUGGACGGAAGUCUGAACCAGCCAAGUAGCGUGCAGGAUGACGGCCCUAUGGGUUGUAAACUGCUUUUAUGCGGGGAUAAAGUUAGUCACGUGUGACUAUUUGCAGGUACCGCAUGAAUAAGGACCGGCUAAUUCCGUGCCAGCAGCCGCGGUAAUACGGAAGGUCCCGGCGUUAUCCGGAUUUAUUGGGUUUAAAGGGAGCGUAGGCCGUGGAUUAAGCGUGUUGUGAAAUGUAGACGCUCAACGUCUGACUUGCAGCGCGAACUGGUUCACUUGAGUGUGCGCAACGCAGGCGGAAUUCGUGGUGUAGCGGUGAAAUGCUUAGAUAUCACGAAGAACUCCGAUUGCGAAGGCAGCUUGCGGGAGCACAACUGACGCUGAAGCUCGAAAGUGCGGGUAUCAAACAGGAUUAGAAACCCGUGUAGUCCGAAGUUC
rnacentral:rRNA from 1 species